UGCGUAGGUGGUCGGGUAAGUCUGAGGUGAAAUCUCCGAGCUCAACUCGGAAACUGCCUUGGAUACUAUUCGGCUAGAGGGUUGGAGGGGGGACGUGGAAUUCUCGGUGUAGCAGUGAAAUGCGUAGAUAUCGAGAGGAACACCAGUGGCGAAGGCGAGUCCCUGGACAACUCCUGACGCUGAGGCACGAAAGCUAGGGGAGCAAACA
rnacentral:rRNA from 1 species